rnacentral:rRNA from 1 species
GACGAACGCUGGCGGCGUGCCUAAUACAUGCAAGCAGAACGCUGAAGGAGGAGCUUGCUUCUCUGGAUGAGUUGCGAACGGGUGAGUAACGCGUAGGUAACCUGCCUGGUAGCGGGGGAUAACUAUUGGAAACGAUAGCUAAUACCGCAUAAUAGUAGAUGUUGCAUGACAUUUGCUUAAAAGGUGCAAUUGCAUCACUACCAGAUGAACCUGCGUUGUAUUAGCUAGUUGGUGAGGUAACGGCUCACCAAGGCAACGAUACAUAGCCGACCUGAGAGGGUGAUCGGCCACACUGGGACUGAGACACGGCCCAGACUCCUACGGGAGGCAGCAGUAGGGAAUCUUCGGCAAUGGACGGAAGUCUGACCGAGCAACGCCGCGUGAGUGAAGAAGGUUUUCGGAUCGUAAAGCUCUGUUGUAAGAGAAGAACGAGUGUGAGAGUGGAAAGUUCACACUGUGACGGUAGCUUACCAGAAAGGGACGGCUAACUACGUG